rnacentral:rRNA from 1 species
CGGUAGCACAGAGAGCUUGCUCUCGGGUGACGAGUGGCGGACGGGUGAGUAAUGUCUGGGAAACUGCCUGAUGGAGGGGGAUAACUACUGGAAACGGUAGCUAAUACCGCAUAACGUCGCAAGACCAAAGAGGGGGACCUUCGGGCCUCUUGCCAUCAGAUGUGCCCAGAUGGGAUUAGCUAGUAGGUGGGGUAACGGCUCACCUAGGCGACGAUCCCUAGCUGGUCUGAGAGGAUGACCAGCCACACUGGAACUGAGACACGGUCCAGACUCCUACGGGAGGCAGCAGUGGGGAAUAUUGCACAAUGGGCGCAAGCCUGAUGCAGCCAUGCCGCGUGUAUGAAGAAGGCCUUCGGGUUGUAAAGUACUUUCAGCGGGGAGGAAGGCGUUAAGGUUAAUAACCUUAUCGAUUGACGUUACCCGCAGAAGAAGCACCGGCUAACUCCGUGCCAGCAGCCGCGGUAAUACGGAGGGUGCAAGCGUUAAUCGGAAUUACUGGGCGUAAAGCGCACGCAGGCGUCUGUCAAGUCGAAUGUGAAAUCCCCGGGCUCAACCUGGGAACUGCAUUCGAAACUGGCAGGCUGGAGUCUUGUAGAGG